GCAAGGUGUACAAGAGGAGCUGACUGCCAGUACUUCGAUGCCUGAGUGUUAGCCAGUAACGGUGUUUCCCUGAGACGUCCUGGGUUCUCCUCGUGACGAUUCCCCCUGGCUUCCUAUACUAGACCUCCCUCGUGACGCCGUGGAACAUAUCCACUGGUUGCCCGAGUUUCCAGACUCACCUCCUCCGGCUGAUCGCAAGUUCCUCCUGGAUGUUCCGACUGGCAGUCGUGCCGCUCCUCUGUCUCUGUUCUGCCUGAACCUACCUGUCCGCCCUCCGGCUACACUCCCUCGCAACCUUCUGGAUCUCUGUGGCUAAGCGCUGGACCACAAGGAAACAAGGACCCCGAGCACUGCAGUUAUCCCUCCAAAUCUCCAACUCCUGUUCAACAAUGUGCUGACCACUCCGUGAGCCUUCCCCCCCCCUGGAUAGACCCGUUAUCUUCAGUGCAUUCAAUCAUUGCUGUUG